UACAGAGGGUGCGAGCGUUGUCCGGAAUCACUGGGCGUAAAGCGCACGUAGGCGGAUCGUUAAGUCGGGGGUGAAAUCCCGAGGCUCAACCUCGGAACUGCCUUCGAUACUGGCGAUCUUUGAGUCCGGGAGAGGUGAGUGGAACUCCGAGUGUAGAGGUGAAAUUCGUAGAUAUUCGGAAGAACACCAGUGGCGAAGGCGGCUCACUGGCCCGGUACUGACGCUGAGGUGCGAAAGCGUGGGGAGCAAACAGG
rnacentral:rRNA from 1 species